UACGUAGGGUGCGAGCGUUAAUCGGAAUUACUGGGCGUAAAGAGUGCGUAGGCGGUUCUUGAAGUCCGCUGUGAAAUCCCCGGGCUCAACCUGGGAACUGCAUCUGUGACUGCAUCGCUGGAGUGCGGCAGAGGGGGAUGGAAUUCCGCGUGUAGCAGUGAAAUGCGUAGAUAUGCGGAGGAACACCGAUGGCGAAGGCAAUCCCCUGGGCCUGCACUGACGCUCAUGCACGAAAGCGUGGGGAGCAAACAGG
rnacentral:rRNA from 1 species